rnacentral:rRNA from 1 species
AAACCAGCACCUCAAGUGGUCAGGAGGAUUAUUGGGCCUAAAGCAUCCGUAGCCUGCUUUGUAAGUUUUCGGUUAAAUCCAUAUGCUCAACAUAUGGGCUGCCGAGAAUACUGCACAGCUAGGGAGUGGGAGAGGUAGACGGUACUCCAUAGGAAGGGGUAAAAUCCUUUGAUCUAUGGAAGACCACCUGUGGCGAAGGCGGUCUACCAGAACACGUUCGACGGUGAGGGAUGAAAGCUGGGGGAGCAAACCGGAUUAGAAACCCGAGUAGUCC